GCUGUCGUCAGCUCGUGUUGUGAAAUGUUGGGUUAAGUCCCGCAACGAGCGCAACCCUUAUCCUUGUUUGCCAGCGAGUAAUGUCGGGAACUCCAGGGAGACUGCCGGUGAUAAACCGGAGGAAGGUGGGGACGACGUCAAGUCAUCAUGGCCCUUACGAGUAGGGCUACACACGUGCUACAAUGGCGCAUACAGAGGGCGGCCAACUUGCGAAAGUGAGCGAAUCCCAAAAAGUGCGUCGUAGUCCGGAUUGGAGUCUGCAACUCGACUCCAUGAAGUCGGAAUCGCUAGUAAUCGUGAAUCAGAAUGUCACGGUGAAUACGUUCCCGGGCCUUGUACACACCGCCCGUCACACCAUGGGAGUGGGCUGCAAAAGAAGCAGGUAGUUUAACCUUCGGGAGGACGCUUGCCACUUUGUGGUUCAUGACUGGGGUGAAGUCGUAACAAGGUAGCGCUAGGGGAACCUGGCGCUGGAUCACCUCCUUA
rnacentral:rRNA from 1 species